GGGCCAUUAGCUCAGUUGGCAGAGCACCUGACUUUUAAUCAGGGUGUCGAUGGUUCGAAUCCAUCAUGGCUCACCA
rnacentral:tRNA from 1 species